UACGAAGGGGGCGAGCGUUGUUCGGAAUUAUUGGGCGUAAAGAGCUCGUAGGCGGUCUGUCGCGUCUGCUGUGAAAACUCGGGGCUUAACCCCGGGCCUGCAGUGGGUACGGGCAGACUAGAGUGCGGUAGGGGAGACUGGAAUUCCUGGUGUAGCGGUGAAAUGCGCAGAUAUCAGGAGGAACACCGGUGGCGAAGGCGGGUCUCUGGGCCGUAACUGACGCUGAGGAGCGAAAGCGUGGGGAGCGAACAGG
rnacentral:rRNA from 1 species